CAAGGUCAGUUGUAUUGAGAGCACUAACAAAUUAUAUUUGCUAUUGGGGUCAAAAAUCAGGUGUUGAGUGAUGUAGACUUUUCUUGUAAUCAUGGGUAAAAAUAUACACAUAUACUGAUGAAAAAAAUUCAAUUAAAUUGUGUAAUGCAGAGCAAAACUAUUAUUGCAGAUUUUGGAGUUUUCACAACAAGAGUAAACUUAAGGUGACUUUAUUCUUGAAAAUGUUGGAGACUGAGAGGCAGAUGUGUAAACAGACAACUCUGCAUGGAAUUGGAGGAUACAAGUAUAUAACUGAAUGCAUUCUGUCUGGAUUUCUGUAUGAUGACAGAAGGCUUUGAUAUGGGGAGAAUUGGAGUGGCUAAGAAUCAGACGGAGACCCAAUGUCCGUUCACAUGGAAUACCAGGGUUUGCAAAGGAGGACAUUGGAACUGGCUUAAGUAUUCGAACUUCUGAUGGCAGUUGAUGAAAGAAGAUGUCAUACUUAGGGAAACAUUAAAUUACUUUGAAUGAUAUUACCUAAAAACAUCAAACAACAGGGGAAAAAAGAGGACUGCCUAUUUCCGAUUUAUCUUUACAUAACAACACCCAAAGCACUACCAUCAAAAAAUUAAAAUCAAUAUAUAGGAAGAAAAAAUGAAGACAUUGAUUAAAAGAAAAGAAGUUCAAAGAGUUUCGAAUAUUAUGUCAAGUUGUCAACGACAACACAGAUCUGGAAAUGGAUUUUCUUGCCUAAUAAUUAUAUUAAAGGCAUGUUCAUGCAUGACUUUUGUUCCAACUGUGUUCCCUGUAUCAAAAAAACCAUCACAUCUUGUGUAACACCAACAAAACAGCUUUUUAUUGUUUGGACAUUAAAUGCUUAUGAUUAUACUUAAAAUUGCAAGAAAAAGGACUGUACCUAUGUAAAGUACAAUGCAGCAAUAUACAAAAAAAAGAUUGUCUAACAAUAUUUUUGUCUCUGUUAUUUGUGUUGUACUGGUAUACACAUAUGUAUUGGAUCAUGAGAAAUAAAAAAAAAAAAAUUCUUGAUUUAAAGAUGAAGAAAGUUUGGGAAAGUCUUGGAAUUAGUGUUUGAAAGGUAUAUAUAUAAACUAUGUUGUGUAUAAAUCUUUAUAUACUUUUGUUAAAUCAGAGUGCAUAUUUCUUUAGAUAAGUAAAGAAGUUAAAUAGAGCAAUUUAUCAAAUAAUCAUUCAAUAAGUAAUGCAUUCAUUUAAUAGGUUCAUUAAUGUUAAGCACUUUGAUAGAAACAGUUGUAAAGGAAUAUUUUUUCAUAUAUUGAGAAUUUAAAGAAUUUUUAAAUCAGUCAGUGAAAAUAAUUCCUUAUCUUUAUACAGUCAUGUAUGUACAAAUGUUUUCACGAUGAAAUGACUAUGCAAAGAAUGGAA